rnacentral:rRNA from 1 species
UACGUAGGGUGCGAGCGUUAAUCGGAAUUACUGGGCGUAAAGCGUGCGCAGGCGGUUCGGUAAGUCAGCUGUGAAAGCCCCGGGCUCAACCUGGGAAUUGCGGUUGAAACUGGCGAACUAGAAUCUGGCAGAGGGGGGUGGAAUUCCACGUGUAGCAGUGAAAUGCGUAGAGAUGUGGAGGAACACCGAUGGCGAAGGCAGCCCCCUGGGCUGAGAUUGACGCUCAGGCACGAAAGCGUGGGGAGCAAACAGG